AGAGUUUGAUCAUGGCUCAGAACGAACACUGGCGGCGUGCUUAAUACACGCAAGUCGAACGAGAACGUCUGCUUCGGCAGAUUAUUAGAGUGGCAAACGGGUGAGUAACGCGUAAGCUAGCUACCUUUCAGUUGGGGAUAGCUUUGUUAACACGGAGAUAAUACCGAAUAUUGUCUUAACCUAGCAUUAGGAUUAGAUAAAAGGGGCAGCAAUGUCCCGCUGAGAGAUGUGCUUGCGUUCCAUUAGUUUGUUGGUGAGGUAACGGCUCACCAAGACCGCGAUGGAUAGCCGGCCUGAGAGGGUGAACGGCCACACUGGGACUGAGAUACGGCCCAGACUCCUACGGGAGGCAGCAGUAAGGAAUUUUGCGCAAUGGACGAAAGUCUGACGCAGCGACGCCGCGUGGAUGAUGAAGUUUUUCGGAAUGUAAAAUCCUGUCAGGAGGGACGAAUUGUCUGAGUAAACCUCAGAUUUGACGGUACCUCCAGAGGAAGCUACGGCUAACUCCGUGCCAGCAGCCGCGGUAAUACGGGGGUAGCGAGUGUUGUUCGGAUUUACUGGGCGUAAAGGGAGCGCAGGCGGCUAGAUUAGUCAGGAGUGAAAUUUUGGGGCUUAACCCCAAAACUGCUUUUGAUACUGUCUGGCUAGAGUAUGCGAGAGGAGAAUGGAAUUCUAGGUGUAGCGGUGGAAUGUGUAGAUAUCUAGAAGAACACCAAUUGCGAAGGCAGUUCUCUGGCGCAAUACUGACGCUCAUGCUCGAAAGCUAGGGGAGCAAACAGGAUUAGAUACCCUGGUAGUCCUAGCCGUAAACGAUGGACACUAGGUGCUGGGGGAGUCAACCCCUUCGGUGCCGAAGCUAACGCAUUAAGUGUCCCGCCUGGGGAGUACGGUCGCAAGGCCGAAACUCAAAAGAAUUGACGGGGGCCCGCACAGGCGGUGGAGCAUGUGGUUUAAUUCGACGAUACGCGAAGAACCUUACCUGGAUUUGACAUGGAAGUGCUUAUUCUCAGAGAUGAGAACUUCUCUUCGGAGACACUUCACACAGGUGCUGCAUGGCUGUCGUCAGCUCGUGUCGUGAGAUGUUGGGUUAAGUCCCGCAACGAGCGCAACCCUUGUCUGUAGUUGCCAUCAGGUUAAGCUGGGAACUCUACAGAGACUGCCCUGUUAAACGGGGAGGAAGGUGGGGAUGACGUCAAGUCCUCAUGGCCCUUACGUCCAGGGCUACACACGUGCUACAAUGGACUGCACAGAGGGUCGCAAAUCCGCAAGGUGGAGCUAAUCCCACAAAUCAGUCCUCAGUUCGGAUUGGAGUCUGCAACCCGACUCCAUGAAGUUGGAAUCGCUAGUAAUCGCGGAUCAGCAUGCCGCGGUGAACACGUUAUCGGGCCUUGUACACACCGCCCGUCAAGCCAUGAAAGAUAGGGGUACUCGAAGUAGUUGCCUGAACCUUCGGGAGGGCGCUCCUAAAGUAAAACUAUUGAUUGGGGCUAAGUCGUAACAAGGUA
rnacentral:rRNA from 1 species